GACGAACGCUGGCGGCGUGCUUAACACAUGCAAGUCGAACGGAAAGGCCUGCUUUCCCUUGUGGAUUGCGGGUGCUCGAGUGGCGAACGGGUGAGUAACACGUGAGUGAUCUGCCCCCAACUUGGGUAUAAGCCCGGGAAACUGGGUCUAAUUCCCGAUAGGACUGCAGGGUGGUGCCUGUGGUGGAAAACGAUUUUCUAGUGGUUGGGGAUGAGCUCGCGGCCUAUCAGCUUGUUGGUGGGGUAAUGGCCUACCAAGGCGGCGACGGGUAGCCGGCCUGAGAGGGUGGACGGCCACAUUGGGACUGAGAUACGGCCCAGACUCCUACGGGAGGCAGCAGUGGGGAAUAUUGGACAAUGGGCGGAAGCCUGAUGCAGCGACGCCGCGUGGGGGAUGACGGCCUUCGGGUUGUAAACUCCUUUCGACCGCGAGGAAGCCACCUGGUUGGAAGGGUGGUGACGGUAGUGGUAGAAGAAGCACCGGCUAACUACGUG
rnacentral:rRNA from 1 species